UGGGGUAUCGCCAAGCGGUAAGGCACCGGUUUUUGAUACCGGCAUUCCCUGGUUCGAAUCCAGGUACCCCAGCCG
rnacentral:tRNA from 1 species